AUCUAAAAAGGCGUAAGAGGUCUGGAUUCGUCAAAAAGGUCUUUGAGAAUCCAAAAACGUCUUAUGGUUUAGCUCUCGAUUUUCUCAUUCGAUUCCUUCUUCCUCCGGCUUCAAGUCGCCGGAUCUUCUUGAUUUCCGAUUCACUUGGAGAUUUUUCUUCUCCUCUAAACACACGACGCUUCAUAGUUUUUUGUUGUGAUUCCGUUUGUUUCAGGAAGAGGCAUGUAAUUCAGGAUUUCCGGCGAUUUGGUGGGACGUUUGGAGAAAUUUCGAGUUUUUAGUAUUCGUAGGAAAGUUUUCUUCUUUUUUUUUUGGGUUUGUAGAUGUUGUUGAUUAAUGGUUGAAGGUGAGAAAUGGGGCUUCGAUGGUUUUGAAGAGAUUGUGUAUUAUCGUGGAAAUGAGAUUGUUGGAGAUUGCAGAAAGUCAUCUGAUUCGUAUUCACGGGUUUGCUUAGGGACUUUGGAGAAACUGAGAGUUUUGGUUGUUUAGUCUUUGAGAAAAGGUUUAGGCUUUUAGCAUUUCAAGCGUCUUUAUUAAUAAGUGAGUUUGUUUUUCGAGCUUAGAGAUGGAUGAAGAGGCUACUUCUUGGAUUAGGAGGGCUAAGUUUUCUCAAACGGUUUCUUAUCGUUUGAAUUCGUCAAAGUUGGCUUCUCUCCCUUUUAUGGUAAACCAAGAUAAGAUUGCUGGAUUGAGAACUAUACCCCAGAGAUCAUCAUCUUCGUCGUCGGCAUCAUCAUCGGAUCCCAAGUUGGUUUCUAGUAACUCACAGACUACGGAAGAUACCUCGUGUUUGGAAGCUGAUGUAUAUGUUGUUGAUUCGGAAAUACAGACAAACCCUGUAACUAAUAAGCAGAGAUCUGUUUCUCCCUCGCCUCAAAUGGCUGUUCCUGAUGUGUUUAAGGAAGCAAGGUCGGAGCGUAAGAGAUUUUCUACUCCACAUCCGAGACGGGUGGAAUCGGAAAAGGGAAUGAAGCCUAAGUUAUCUCAUAAAAACUCCUUUGAAAAGAGAUCAUUUAAUUUGCGGUCUCCAUCAGGUCCUAUCAGAGAUCUUGGCACUCUGAGAAUUCAAGAGAGGGUGAAGAGCAAGAAGGACACAGGAUGGUCUAAGCUUUUUGAUAAUACUGGUCGUAGAGUGAGUGCUGUAGAAGCUUCUGAAGAGUUCCGUGUUGAUAUGUCAAAGUUGUUCUUUGGGCUUAAGUUUGCUCAUGGGUUAUAUAGCCGGCUAUACCAUGGUAAGUAUGAAGAUAAAGCUGUUGCCGUGAAGCUUAUCACUGUACCUGAUGAUGACGAUAAUGGAUGCUUGGGAGCUCGUUUAGAGAAACAGUUUACCAAGGAAGUCACCCUUUUGUCUCGAUUGACCCAUCCAAAUGUUAUAAAGUUUGUGGGAGCGUAUAAAGACCCGCCUGUAUAUUGUGUCCUCACGCAGUUUUACCUGAAGGAUCGUUAAGAUCUUUUCUGCACAAGCCUGAGAAUAGGUCUCUUCCUUUGAAAAAGCUUAUAGAGUUUGCUCUAGAUAUUGCAAGAGGAAUGGAAUAUAUUCACUCACGACGCAUAAUUCAUCGGGAUCUUAAGCCGGAAAAUGUAUUGAUCGACGAAGACUUCCAUUUGAAGAUCGCUGACUUUGGCAUAGCGUGCGAGGAGGAGUACUGUGACAUGUUGGCUGAUGACCCCGGAACAUAUCGGUGGAUGGCACCUGAAAUGAUAAAACGGAAACCACACGGGCGUAAGGCCGAUGUUUACAGCUUUGGACUCGUUUUAUGGGAAAUGGUAGCUGGGGCAAUCCCGUAUGAGGACAUGAAUCCUAUUCAAGCUGCUUUCGCAGUCGUACACAAGAACAUUAGGCCAGCUAUUCCGGGAGAUUGUCCAGUAGCCAUGAAAGCUCUGAUAGAGCAGUGUUGGUCGGUUGCACCGGAUAAGAGACCAGAGUUCUGGCAGAUAGUGAAAGUGCUUGAACAGUUUGCGAUUUCACUGGAACGUGAAGGGAACCUGAAUCUGUCUUCGCACAAGAUCUGUAAGGACUCAAGGAAAGGUCUGAAACAUUGGAUCCAGAAGCUUGGACCAGUCCAUGGAGGAGGAGGAGGCGGUGGCAGCAGCAGCAGCGGCCUUGGUGGCUCGGCCUUGCCUAAGCCAAAAUUCGCUUGAGAGACGUGAAGAGUCUCUUUUGUAAAUUUAUAUAUAAUACAAAAAGAAGGGUUUUGUGUUUGUGUUGUAUCCUUUUUUUUGUGGAUUGUUGUUGUUAGUGAUCUUUCAUCGUCAAUGUCAUAUUCUCUGGAUUUGAUGUGUAAUGACUGCCAACUGGGGAAUGGUUGUGAUUUGAUGUUUAUGGGAUUCAACAUCUUCUCUA